rnacentral:rRNA from 1 species
GAGUUUGAUCUUGGCUCAGGAUGAACGCUAGCGGCAGGCUUAACACAUGCAAGUCGAGGGGCAGCACGUCUUCGGAUGGUGGCGACCGGCGCACGGGUGCGUAACGCGUAUACAAUCUGCCUUUUACAGAGAGAUACCCCAGAGAAAUUUGGAAUAAUACCUCAUAAUAUUAUUGCUUGGCAUCGAGUGAUAAUUAAAGUUUCGGCGGUAAAAGAUGAGUAUGCGUCCUAUUAGCUAGUUGGUAAGGUAACGGCUUACCAAGGCGACGAUAGGUAGGGGUCCUGAGAGGGAGAUCCCCCACACUGGUACUGAGACACGGACCAGACUCCUACGGGAGGCAGCAGUGAGGAAUAUUGGUCAAUGGGCGCAAGCCUGAACCAGCCAUGCCGCGUGCAGGAAGACUGCCCUAUGGGUUGUAAACUGCUUUUAUACAGGAAGAAACACUCUCUCGUGAGGGAGCUUGACGGUACUGUAUGAAUAAGCACCGGCUAACUCCGUGCCAGCAGCCGCGGUAAUACGGAGGGUGCAAGCGUUAUCCGGAAUCAUUGGGUUUAAAGGGUCCGUAGGCGGAUUAAUAAGUCAGGGGUGAAAUCCCACAGCUUAACUGUGGAACUGCCUUUGAUACUGUUAGUCUUGAGUUAUAUGGAAGUAGAUAGAAUGUGUAGUGUAGCGGUGAAAUGCAUAGAUAUUACACAGAAUACCGAUUGCGAAGGCAGUCUACUACGUAUAUACUGACGCUAAUGGACGAAAGCGUGGGGAGCGAACAGGAUUAGAUACCCUGGUAGUCCACGCCGUAAACGAUGGACACUAGUUGUUGGAUUUAUUCAGUGACUAAGCGAAAGUGAUAAGUGUCCCACCUGGGGAGUACGAUCGCAAGAUUGAAACUCAAAGGAAUUGACGGGGGCCCGCACAAGCGGUGGAGCAUGUGGUUUAAUUCGAUGAUACGCGAGGAACCUUACCAGGGCUUAAAUGUAGGUUGCAUUAGACAGAGAUGUUUAUUUCUUCGGACUGCUUACAAGGUGCUGCAUGGUUGUCGUCAGCUCGUGCCGUGAGGUGUCAGGUUAAGUCCUAUAACGAGCGCAACC